CGUUUUACCUGUCCUCGGAGGCAGUUGGGCGCGUAGCUGUUUGUAAUGGAGUGUGCAAUUCAUUAGAGUAAAAGGUGUUUGACAAUAGGUCAGCUCCUUCAAGCUCUCUGCAACAGUAGGGCCUGCCAUGAAUUACCUCCAUGUUUCUUGAAAGGCACAGACUGGAAAGAAAAGAAGGGCACAGUUGGUUCCAAUAGUCAACUGACUUGGUCACUAUCACACUGACCCUCCCUCAGGGCAGGCAGGAAACAUACUUUAUACUGCUAAAUUGUUCAACUCAACAUUGCAUAGAAAUCAGGGGUUUCCUUUCUCACCAAGAAACCAUCUGUGGACCUUCAUAUAUCACAUCAGUAAUAAAUAGUAACUUAAAUUCUAUGGAAGUGAAUUUCAAGGGAAAUUGAAAGUGGAAGUGGAAGACGUUCUUAAGGACAAUCUAAACACUACUGAACGACAGGUCCAUAUCCAUACAAGGCCACUCCUCCAUGGACAUCGACUGAGAUUAAAUUUUUGCCUCAAAGUUUACCAUAACUAUUCAAGAAAACUCAGCUGACCCCCCACCCCAUCCCCAUAAUAUUUCUUAAAAGCAGGCAGAAUCACACAGCAGAAUCAGCAGCUGUGCUUCUAAGGGUUUCAGGGAUCCGGAAUGAGAGAAGAGCUUUGCAGAGAGGUGCAGAAGCAGUGGUGCAGCAGGACCCCAAAGGGUUAGAAUCCCGCUCCCUCCCUCGGACUUGGACGGGGAAGCCAAGGAGGCGCCCCGGCUUGGCACCGCGGGCCUCCCAGGCCAUUAGCGUCCUGCCUAGCGGUGACUCAGGGGUUCGGACGCACCUGGGACAUCAGCCUGGGGGCGGCCCUGAAUCACGUCUCCCCUUGCCCUCCCCAGAGCUGGUGGGCCUCUGCGGGGCGUGGUAUCCCGCCGUUGUCCACACCUGCGGGCCCAGGGAGCUUGCUGGUUACGGGCAGGUGCGGGUGGGGAGAGAGAGGGACGGCGGGCAGGCCAGGGGUGGGGUUGAGGGUGCCUAUGACGGCAACCGUGACCGUGACACUAGGUAAUGCAUUCUUGCGGAGGGGCAGGAGGCUAUUACAGUUUUCGCAGGAAGGCAGCCUAGGAGCCUUGCGACUGGUAGUAAUCCGAAACGGGACUGGACGUGUAGAGAGAGGACAAGACGCCCAGUCUAGAGGGUUUUUCUCCGGCCCUAGCAUUCCCAGUGUGGACUGGGCGGAGGACGGGCUCAGCGCCAGGAUGGAGGGCAGGACACCCUGGUGAGGCGAGAGCAUCCUGCCCAUCUUCCCCUCCGCCUCCUAUUGCUGGAAUGGGGGGCUGCGGCCGCUUUGAAGGUGGCUUCGCUGGACUCUGCACGCGUGCUCCGGAGUUGUGCCCUGUGGGACACUUGGCUCUUCUUUCCUCGGGUGGGUGCGGACAUGGCAAACGGGCAGGUCUGGCUGCGGCUUACUACCCAGUUCCCAAGGACCUAGCCCCACCUUGAUGACCUCAGUUACGCGCAACCCCUGCCCUCCCACCUCCAUCCCCUUUCCCCCAGAAGCUAAUGUGAACACGGUUCCUCACCUACAGAGCCUGAGUUUCUGUGAUGACUGAGACACCCCCCCCCCACCCCCGAAGGACCGGGAUGUGGGAAGUUUACAUUUUGAGAGAGGCUAGAACUGAGCCUGUAGGAACACAGAAGGAUGCGGAGGUAGAGAGAUCACCUCUGAGAAGGGAGUUGUUCUCUGACUCUUAAAACAGCUUUUUAAUCAGCUGACCAGUGGAUAUUCAUUUUGUGCUGUGCUUUCUAGGUGAGUGUUAGGUGACAUGCGAGAAAGAAAGGUGCAUUGGAGUCGGCAAGGUCGGGAUUUUAUAUUCUUGGUCAACUUCAUAGUCUCUGCACCUCUCCCCCAAUUCCACUAAGCUUGCAAGAGUAAAUACUGCUGGAGACAGAAUUGUGAAUUAGGUGAAGUUUGCCCUCAUCUUUCCCCUUUAUACAUUUUAUCCCCCCCCCCCCCCAAAUAACUUCUCAUGGAAGUCCAUCCUAAUCUUUUUUUGCCUUUUUGCUGCUCUAGGGUUUUCAGGAUUUCCUUUUAAAUUCCUUCCCAUUGAAUUCCCUGUCAACUUAGCCUAUUUCAUGUGCCCAGCCUUCCAGUAAUUUCUGUAUCCCACCUCUCUCUUGUGCUUGACCUUUGUUCCAUUUCCUCAUGGCUUGAUUCUUCCUGGGUGGUAAUAAUUGAACACAAUAGAUUUAAUCAGGGAUAUCUGCUGAAGCUGCAUCACAAGCCAUGGGCUCGUAUGUAUGCGGAUGGUUGUGAGACCAGGGAAGUUAGGGCCACAAUGGGACCCAGGAUAUGUGGUGAGAGUCUCCAGGUUCUAGUGGGUUUGAAAUUUUAUUUUCUGUCAAACGGGUGUAAAGAGUAGGAAAAUAGCAUUACUUAUUUUUAACUUUGUUAUCUCCAAAUAAAAUUUAUAGGCAAGAAAAAAAAUUCAUUGUCAGAUCUUUGUAAAACAAGUGUUCUCUUUGGAAAUGCUUCCCCAUCUGAAAGGUUCUUGAGGAUGUCAGAACUGGGUCUACUUGACCGCGCUCCUCAGCCAUCAGAUCAUGUAUAUGUGACCCCAACCAAAAGUAAGCACCUGCCUUGGGAUGCUCAAAAUAACUGAUUUCUUAGGUGUGUCACUACUUCCUGUGGAGUCAGAUCACCUUUCUAUCUCUCCUGACAUACUGUUCUCUCUGUCACCACUUCAUUUACCUUAAUGUAUUCUUUGAGUCACUAGUAAUCCCGCCAGCAGAGAAGAUGAAAUUUGGGAAUGAAAAAAAUGUAUGCAUAGAAUACUGUGUCUGGGUUGACAAAAAUUCCAAACCGCUAAAGUUAGACCUUUCGCCUUCAAGGAGAUAAUAUACAGGAAGUAUAUAAUAAUGUAAGCUAUACUCUAUAACCUUUAUUUUAAAUCAGUUAUAAAGACUUUUAAUUAAAGUGGUAUUUGAUAAUGAACCAAAUAAAGUUUUGAGGGAUCUCGUACUUCUUGGCAGAUAUGGGUAUUUAAUCCACCCCUCGCAGUUUCACUGAUAUAAUUGACGUAUAAAAUUGUAUAAGUUUAAGGGGUACAACACAAUGACUUCAUAUGUGUAUAUAUUAUGAAAUGGCUGUCACAGAAAUUUUAUUUAUUAGCAUCUAUCACCUCAUAUUGUUUCAAAAAAGAAUUUUUCCCCUUGUGAUGAAAUCUUUUAGGAUUUGUUCUCUUAGCAACUUCAAAUAUACCAAACAGCAUUGUUCACUAUAGUCAUCCUGUUGUGCAUUAUAUCCCAGUACUUACUUAUCUCAUAAACUGGAAGUUUGUACUUUUUGACCACCUUCGCUUGAUUCCCUUACCUCUCACCCCCUGCCUCUGGCAACCACAAAUCUGAUCUCUUUUUCUAUGAGUUUGUUUUUUUAGAUUCCACAUAUAAGUGAGAUCAUACUGUAUUUAUCUUUCUCUGUCUUACUUAGCAUAAUGCCCUCGAGAUCCAUACAUGUCAGGAAUGCAAGAUUUCUUUCUUUUUUAUGGCUGAAUAGUUUUUCCGUGAGCACACGUGUACCACAUUUUCUUUAUCCACUCAUCUGUAGAUGGACACUUAGGUUGGUCCAUGUCUGGCUAUUAUAAAUAAUGCUGCAGUGAACAUGGGGUGUAGAUCUCUCUUUGACAUAGUGAUUUUAUGAAUAUUUAAGUUUUUUUUAAUAUAUUUUUUAAAAUUUUAUUUAUUUUGGAAGAGACAGCGACAGCACGAGUAGGGGAGGGGCAGAGAGAGAGGGAGAGAGAGAGAGAGAGAGAGAGAGAGAGAGAGAGAGAAUCACAAGCUGUUGCCACGCUGUCAGCACAGAGCCCUAGGUGGGGCUCAAACCCAUGAAGCCACAAGAUCAUGACCUGAGCUGAAACUAAGAGUCAGGCGCUUAACUGACCCAGCCACCCAGGCAUACUUCAUGAGUAUUUUUUAAAUGGAAAAAGUUUGAGUGUUAUUCCUUGCCUAGAAGAUGGGUUGGGAAGUCUUUUUCAGUGACUUUAAAACAUAUAUUAAAAAACAGCUGUAAAACUUAAAACCUCGUUGAUUCCAAUGUAUGUAUCCUACUUACUAGGAUGAUAAUUAAAACUACAUAUUCUUCUGGCUUUAAAAUUAAACUGAUUACAGAUGAGUUUAAUGACACUUUAAUAUUAAAUUGAGGUUUUUUUUGCCUUGAGUAGCUAAGGAACUGUGUACUCAUUGCAAUGACAUAGGUGCAGAUAUUUAUAAAAUGUCCUUAUUUGGUAAAUAAUCCCCAAUUGCCCAGAGUGUGUCAGGGAUUGCCCCAGUGCCUGCAAUCUCUGGGGAUAUGGAACAGGAAACAGUUAUGAUCCAAUGAGGUAGGUGCUACCUUGGGAAACAAAUACCCUUGUACUUCUAGCCUCAAGAAUUAUGGAAAUCAGUAAUACUGGAUAUUUUAUUCCUGGCCUCUGGUAGACUAGCCUCUAAAGAUGGCACCCAUUGCACUUCUAGCCUCAAGAAUUAUGGAAAUAAGGACUAUAGUAAUAUUGGAUAUUUUCUUCCUGGCCUCUGGUUGACUAGGCUCUAAAGAUGGCCCUUAAUGAACCACAGCUCCUGCUAUUAAUGCUUAUGUGUAGUUCCCACCUACAUCUGUAUGAGCUGCUCUGUGACUCGUGUUAACCACUUGAAUGCAGAAGUAUGCUCUGCCAAUGCUAGACCUAGUCUUUAAGAGGACUGGUCGCUUCCACUUUCUCGCUCUUCGGACACUUACUUUUGAGAGACCUGAACCACCAUGAAAUAAGUCUAACUACCUUACCAGAGGGACCCUGUGGGAAGAUUAUAUGAAGAGGGAGAGGGACCCUGUUGUCAUAAUGUCCCCAUUAUCUGAAGAGAUGACUCCAGUCUCACGUGUCACCCGACUGCAACCAGAUGAGAAGCCCCAGGUGAGACCAGUGGAAGAACUGCCUACAUGAUCUCAGACAACCUACAGAAUCACAAGAGGGAGUCAUUCCAGUGCUUUCUAUUGAUGAAACUUAAAAUUCUGCCACCUGAUGACGGAGAACUUUUUGCAGGAUCCAAGUCCAGUAUCACAAAGUGCAGGGCAAAGAAGAGUGGAUUUGGAAUGGAGAGCCAAUAAAUUGAUAACUUGCACACCCUAGUAAUGGUAAUUUAUUUAACAUACACUGUGUACCAGAUGCUGUGAUAGAAGAGUGUGUGUGUGUGUGUGUGUGUAUUUGUAGGUGUACAUAAUUUUAAAACCCACAGCAACCCUGUGAAGUAGAUAUCCUCAUUUGACAUAUACAAAAAAUGAUCCACUUUUGUCUGGACAUUAAAGCUAUGCUCUUCUCUGCCAUCCUGAUAUUCUUUUCUUCUCUGUGGAAAGUUAAAUGUGCCCUCUUAUCUUCCCCCUUACUACUUGCCUCUGUAUUACAGCACUUAUGUUGCAGUACCUUUUGGUUUGUGUGUCUACCUUUCUCGGUAAUGUAGGAGACCUUGAAAAGCAGGAAUCGUAUUUUUUGUUUCAUUUUGGGUUCCCAGUGCCUACCUUUAGUACUUAGUACUUAAAUACUCAUGAAAAGAAUAAUUAUUUGGAUGUCCCCUCCUUGAAACCAAUGUCAGUGAGCUAGAUAACUCUGGAAACAUAUAGGUAGGUGCUAAGUAAAUCUCUUGAGUUGGGUUGAGUAUUUACUAUUGGAUAAGCUAGUAAGGUCUUGUUGAAUAUUGGGAAUAGGGAAAGCCUUUUUUGUUUUUAUUUUAUUUUAUAAUUUGGUUUAUUUAUUAACACCAUAAUGUGAUAGGAAACUGUCAAUUUAAAAUCUCUUUUAUAUGUUUGUGCAUAGGAAAGGUUUGAUUCCUAAAAAACAUUUAGCCCAUCAUAAAAUGGUACAAUUUUAGUUCACAGUCAUGGAUAGGUUCUGCUGUUGGCCAUUCCGUUAAAUCUCCUUUAGGUUCAAAUUCUACCUCUGUCAGUUUUUCUUUUUUUUUUAAGUUUACUUAUUUAUUUUGAGAGAAACAGAGACAAUGUUGAGUGGGGGAGGAGCAGAGAGAGAGGGUGAGAGAGAAUCUCAAGCACGCUCUGUGCUGCCAGUGCAGAACCUGAUGCAAGGCUUGAACCCACAAAACUGUGAGAUCGUGACCUGAGCUGGAACCAAGAGUUGGAUGCUUAACCGAUUCAGCCACUUAGGUGCUCCUACUUCUGUUAGUCUUUCAAGUAAGAAACUUUGGAAUCAUCCUGUGGAUUAUGUUAUUGGUAUUUAAAGAGUUUUGAGUUUUGUUCUAGCAGGAGUUAAAUUACCAGCACAUAUGAGGCUUGGUUUUAUGCUUUUGUAGAGUGCUUUUUUAGGGUGGGUCUAUUUCAAUCCCUCCCCCCCCCCCCUUUAUGAAAUGGCCUUAGCUGAAUGGCCAGAGUGUUCACCAAAGUCUCCACUCUUGCUUAGCCUGAAUUCCGGUGUGUUCCUGGCACUGUUCAGUGUCCAGAAUCCUUGUUCAGUUCUUGUGUCCUCAGCAGCUGUUCUCUGCUAGUGCUCCUGGAGUUUUGCUGUGUGUUUGAGAUCCCUCAUAGAUCUGAGUCUAAGAUUCAUGAGCUUCCAGGAUUUGAUAACCCUUGAUUUUUCCUCUGCUUCCCUAGCUUAUUGUCAUUAUUAUUUCUUUUUAUUUUUCUAUUCUUUUUUGCUCCUUCAGGCCUCUAACAUCUGUGUAAUCACUUUUUAUAUUAAAUUCCCUCUGCUGAAAUGCCUAGUUUGGUUUCUGUUUUCCUAACUAUUCAUAUUGUGUCACACAUAGAAAAGAAAAAACUGUUGAAUACAAAAGUAAGAAACACAGUGAGAUCUAAAGCACCAUACCAUUUAUUUAAAUACAGACAGAGUGACAUAAUCAAUAGGCCAUGUUAAACCUCAGUCCCCAUAUAAGAAGACCAACUAGCAACUAUCCAUACACAAGACACCAUUGUAAAAAUUGCAGAACCCAGGGGUAAGGCUGAAGCACCUCCCAUGUCCAUAAAGAUUGAGAAAAACCACAUUAGGAGAGUAGGAGUGACUGCACUUUGACUGUAUUGUCUUUCUCUCACUGGCAUAGUGCUGCACUGAUGUCCCCCCAGGGCCUAUAGUUUCUCCAGUGGGGAAAAAUAUAGAACCCAAGGUGGACAUCCAGCUUCUGAGCAUUGUGGGAUGCUUCCCAGAAAGCCCACUUGGGUCUUACCUCACAGAGAUCACUGGGGGAAUCUGUGGGGCUUAACCACUGAGGAUAAGAUAGAGAUGGAGAAGAUGGUGGGGCUUACAGCAGCCAAAGCUCAGAACUUGGCAAACCCUAUUCCUGCUUGCAAAGAUCCCAGUCAGUGGCUCUGUCCAUCUGCAGAGCCAAACCAGUCUAGACAGGGAACUUUGUUGGCAGUUCUACUUGAUUUGGGUCCUGAGCUAACGGGCUUUACUGGCUGUUGAGCCUGUUCUAUGCCCCUUAAUCCCCAGGCAGGGAAGCAACAUUGCAGUCCCAAUUGCUGAGUAUAGCCUCCUGCCUGAUCAGGAAAUCCAGGCAGCCACAGAGUCUAUCCUACAGCCAUGCAGAGAUGGAGGCUCCCAGGCAGGGAGUAAGUAAGUAUAGAUCUGCUCCCAUAACCAGGGAGCAUGAACAGUGACCCUGGCAAGGCUUGGAGCCAACCCUACAUUACUAUCCAGCUGCAGAGCCCAGCCUACAGCCCAACCCAAUUGCUGAACCAAGUCCAUGGCCUUGCCCAGCAGGGAACUGAGCCAGUGAACCUGCCAGACCUCAGAGUUCACUAUCUGGACCCACCCUAUUGCAGGAUACAGCCAAGGCCUCUCCUGAUCAGAGAGCAUAGCCAGCAGUCUACCUAAUCAUGAAGCAUAACCUGUUGUCCUGCCCAACUUCAGGGCACAGCCUAUGGCCUUGCCUGAUCACAGGAACCAGCCUGAAACCUGACCAACUAUUUAGCUCUGCCUGCAUUCCCACCUGAGCACAGAGUCUAGUCAGUAGCAUCAUCCAGUUGGAGAGAACAGUCUGAGAUCUAAUCUACAAUCUACAAGCAAUUGUAGAGCUCAGCCCAUAGCCCUGCCUGACUGUGGAGUUCAACCAGUGGCAUCACCCUGCCAUGGAACAUAACCUGUGACCUCACCUUACCAGAGAUGGUUGUAGAGCCCAGCUAGUGACCACAUCUGACUGAAGCACAGCCAACAGCCCCACCCAAUAAGAGAGCCCACCCAACUACCUUGCUUAAUAUGUAGCCCAGCAAGGAAGCCUACCCGAGCCUAGAACUCAACCAGUGGCACCCUCCUGCCAGCCAACCUCAGAGCAUGAGAAGUGGCCUCGCUUAACUAGAGACCCUGAUAGCAAGCCCAUCUGCUCACAAUCUGUACCAGCUGACCCAUUCAGUCCAAGCUGAGCUGACUGUUGAAGGUCUUUCUCUGCUGAAUUGAACCUGUAAAGUAUAGAGAAGAGGCUACUUAUUCAAAUGUAUAGAUACUAAUGCAAGAAAUCAAGGAUCACAAAGAAUCAGGGAAACAUAACUAAAGGAAACAAUAACUGACCCUAAAGGAAUGGGUAUCAAUGAACUAUCUGACAAGGAAUUCAGAAUAACCCUCUAAAGAAAUUCAGUGAAAUAUAAGAACAAACAGUUAAACAAAAUUAGGAAAACAAUGCAUGAACAAAAUGAAAAGUUUAACAAAGAAAUAGAAACCAUAAAAAAUCCAAACAGAAAUCCUAGAACCAGAAUAUAAUGACUGCACUGAAGAAUUCAAUAGAGAGCUUCAAUACAGAAUUGACUAAGCAGAAGAAAGAGUUGGUGAACUAAAGGUAGGGCAUUUGAAAUUAUCCAGUCAGAGGAGAAAAAGAAAAUGAAAAAAAGUGAAGAAAGCCUAUGUGACUUACAGGAUGACAUCAAAACAAACAGUAAAAUGGAAAUCUCAGAAGGAGAAAGGAAAGCGAUAGGGACAGAAAGUCUCUCUAAAGCAAUAAUGGCUGAAAACUUACCAAACUUGAGGAGAGAAAUGGACAUCCAGAUUCGUGAGGUCCAAACAACCCCAAAUAGGUUGAACCCAAAAAGGGCUACACUAAGACCUUAUAAUUAAAUUGUCAAAAUUUAAGAUGGAGUAUGUUGACAGCAACAAGAGAAAAAUGACUUGUCAUGUACCUGGGAGGCCCCAUACAACUAUAAGCAGAUUUCUGAACAGAAACUUUUCAGUCUAGGAGAGAGUGGUAUGAUAUAUUUAAAAUAUUCAAAGAAAAAACUGUAAGCCAGGAAUACGAUGCCUGGCAAAGCUAUACUUUAUAAAGGGAAGAGAAAGAAAGACUUCCCCUAAGAAAUGAAAGCUGAGGGAGUUCACCACAUUAGACUGACUUACAAGAAAUGCCAAAGGGUGUUCUUCAAGCUGAACUAAAAGGUUGCUAAUUAACAUCAUAAAAACAAGUGAAUGUGUAAAAGUCACUGGUAAUGGUAAAUACAUAGUCAAAGUCAGAUUUUCUAAUAUUGUAAUGGUGGUGCAUACUUUACUUAUAAGUCUACUUUAAAAGUUAAAAAAUAUAUUAAAAAUAACCAUAACUACAAUAAUAUAUUACUGGAUACACAACAUAAAAAGAUGUACAUUAUAACAUCAGUAACCUAAAAUGUGAGGCUGGUGGGGGAAGUAAAAGUAUAGUUUCUGUAUGCUAUCAUAAUUAUGUUGUUAUUAGCUUAAAAUAGGAUGCUUUAAAGAUAUUUUGUGCAAGCAUUAUGGUAACCACAAAGAGAAACCUAUAAUAGAUACAUAAAAGAUUAUGGUAAAAGAGUCAAAGCAUACUACCACAAAAAAAUCAUCAAGUCACAAAGGAAGACAGUAAGAGGGGAAGCAGGAACAAAGAAUCUACAAAGCAGUCAGAGAAAAAAAUUAACAAAAUUUCAAUAGUAAGUCCUUACCUACCAAUAAUUACUUUUAAGAUAAAUGGAUUAGGGGCACCUACGUGGCUCAGUGGGUUAAGCAUGUGACUUUGGCUCAGGUCAUGUUCUCAUGGUUCCAUGGGUUUGAGCCCCACGUCAAGCUCUGUGCUGACAGCUCAGAGCCUGCCUGGAGGCUUUGGAUUCUGUGUCUCCCUCUCUGUCUGUGCUCCCUCCUCAAAAAUAAACAUUAAAAAAAUUUUUUUUAAUAAAUGGGUUAAAUUCUUCAAUCUAAAGAUAUAGAAUGACUGAAAGGAUAAAAAAAAAAAGAUACAGUGAUAUGCUGCACACAAGAGACUCACUUAGCUUUAAGGACACACAUAGACUGAGAGGGAAGGGCUAGAAGGAGAUAUUUUAACCAAGUGAUAAUCAAAAGACAGUAGGCAUAGCUUUACUUAGACAAAAUGGACUUUAAGCCAAAAAUGGUCAAAAGAAACAAGGUCAUUAUAAAAAUGAGAAAGGUGUCAAUUCAUCAAGAAAAUAUAACAAGUAUAUGCAUAUUGGGAUCAUCUGAGAAGUUUUAAAGAAUCCCAGAGUCCCAGUUUCACUUCCAGAGUCUUUGAUGUAGUUGGUCUGGAACUUGCUUGGGCUUCAGGAUUUUUAAGAUCUCCUCCAGAUGAUUCCCAUGGGCUACUUUUGAGAACGACUGCUCUAGAUCCAACUUCCAAUUUACAGAAAAUGCAUGACACAGAAGAAAAUGUUACAUAACACCAUGGGGAUAUAAUCAGCAAUAACCAGGCCUUAGGAAAUGCUGUAGGGCAAAGACCCACUUCUUUACAGAAAAUUAUAAGGAAAAAAAUUUAAAAAAAGAAGGCACAGAGGGGAGAGAAACAUACAUUAAAAGUGACUUAGAAGAAAUAGCAACUCAUUGCAAUAUAUAGCUCCUUUUGGAUGCUCAGGUGAAUAAAGAAAGUAUAUAAAAAUUUUUAUAUAACAUGGAGAGUGUUGAACAUUUAGUAAAUAAUUGAUAUUAAGGGAUUAUUUCUAAAUUUUGAAUAUGAUGAUAUGGUGGUUAUGUUUAAUUUUUAAAAAGAGUUUUUAUUUUUCAGAGAAAAGGUGUUAAAAGAUCUCUGGAUGAAAUAUAUAACAUCUGGGAUUUGCUUCAAAAUAAUCUGGGAAGAGGGAGCUCUGGUAGAUUGGUAUAGGUUUAAAAAAAAAGACUGGAAGAAAAAGAAGAUAAGACAAGCGUAAAUAUUUUUGCAACUAACAUCAGAGCCCCUAAAUACAUAUAGCAAAUACAAACAGAACUAAAAGGAGAAAUAAACAACAAUGCAAUAACAGCUGGGAAUUUUAAUAUCCCUCUCUCAACAAUGGAUAGAGAAUCAAUAAGGAAAUAGCAAUUUGAACAAUACUGUAGAUCAAAUGGAUCUAACAGACAUAUAAAGAACAUUGCAUCCAAGUGCACAUGGAACAUUCUCUAGAAUGGAUCAUAUGUUAGGCCACAAAAGAAGUCUUUAAGAAGAGUUGAAUCAUAUUGAGUAUCUUUUCUGAUGACAAUAGUAUGAAAUUAGAUAUCAAUAGUAGAAGGAAAAUUUGAAAAUUCUUAAGUGUGGAAAUUAAAAGUACACUUCUGAGCAAUGAAUGGGUCAAAGAAGAAAUAAAAAAGAAAUAAAAAAUAUCUUGAGACAAAUGAAAAUGUAAACACAACAUUAGCAAAAUGUAUGAUAUGCAGCAAAAACAGUUCUAAGAGUUUAUGGCAAUAAAUGAGUACAUCAAGAAAAAAGAAACACCUCAAUAAACAACCUAACUAGUUCCUCAAGGAACUAUUAAUAGAAGAACAAACUAAGCCCAAAGUAAUCAGAAGAAUGGAAAUAAUAAACAUUAGAGCAGAAAUGGGCUAAAUUGAGAAUAGAAAAACAAUAGAAAACAUGAACAAAACUAAGAGUUGGUUCAUUGAAAAUAUAAACCAAAUUGACAAACCUUCAGCUAGACUAACCAGGAAAAAAGAACACCCAAGUUAAUAAAAUUAUAAAUGAAAAAGGAGGUAUUAUAACUGAUGCAACGGAAAUACAAAGGGUCAUAAGAAACUACAAUGAAGAAUGAAUAAUUGUACAACCACAAAUUGGAAACCUAGAAGAAAUGGAUAAAUUCCUAGAAACAUGCAAACUACCAAGACUGAAUCAGAAAUAAGUAAAAUAUCUGAAAAGAUCAAUACUAAGUAAGAAGAUUGAAUCAGUAAUCAAAAACCUUGUAACACAGAAAAACCCAGGACCAGAUGGUUUCACUGGUGAAUUCUACCAAACAUUUACAUAAGAACUAACACGAAUCCUUUUUGAACUUCCAAAAAAUAGAAGAGAGGUAACACUCUCAAAGUUAUUUUACCAGGCCAGCAUUACCUCUUUACCAAAUCUUGAUAAGGACACGACAAGAAAACUAUAGGCCAAUAUCCCUCAUAAAUUGCAAAAAUUCUCAACAAAAUACUACAAAGCUAAGUUGUGGAACUUAGUAAAAUAUCAUAUACCAUGAUCAAGUGAGAUUCAUCUUUGGGAUACAAGAAUGGUUCAACAGAUACCAAUCAAUAAAUGUGGUAUAUUGCAUUAAUAGAAUAAAAGAUUAAAAUCAUAUCAUAAUUUUAGUACAUGCAGAAAAAGCAUUUGAUAAAAUUCAACUUUUAUCUGUGAUUAAAAAUGCAACAAAUUAUAUAUAGAAGAAAUUUACCUCAACAUAAUAAAGGCCAUAGAAGACAAGCCCAAUGCUAACAUUACAGUCAAUGGUGGAAGACUGAAAACUUUUCCUUUGAAAUCUGGAAAAAGACAAGAUUCCCACUCUCACCACUUCCAUUUAAUGUAGUAAUGGAAGUCGUAGCCAGAGCAAUUAGGCACAGAAAAGAAGUAAAAGGAAUCCAGAUCAGAAAGGAAGAAAUAAAAUUGUCUGUUUGUAGAUGACAUGAUGUUAUGUGUGGAAAAUGUUAAAGACUCCACUAAAGAAUUGUUAGAACUAAUAAAUGACUUUAGUAAAGUUACAGGAAGCAAAAUCGACAUACCCAAUUGUUUGUAUUUCUAUGCAUUAGAAAUAAAUUAUCUAAAAAGAAAUAAAGAAAGCAAUCCAAUUUACAAUAGCAUCAGAAAUAAAAUACAUAGGAACAAAUGUAACCAAGCAGGUGGAAAGAUCUGUAUACUGAAAACUAUUAGACAAUGAUGAAAAAUUGAAGAAGACACAAGUAAAUGGAAAGAUAUCCUAUAUUUAUGGAUUGGAAGAACUAAUAUUGUUAAAAUAUUCAUACUACCCAAAGUAGAUCUAGAUUCUCUAGAUUCAAUGCAAUCUCUAUCAAUAUUCCAAUGGCAUUUUUUACAAAAAUAGCAAAAACAAUGCUAAAAUUUGUAUGGAAGGACCAAAGAACCUGAGUAGCCAUAGCAAGUCUGAGAAGAAGAAAGCCAGAGGCAUCACAAGUCUUGAUUUCUAACUAUAUUAUAAAGCUAUAUAAUCAAAACAGUGUGGUAUAGGCCUAAAAACAGACACAAUGACCAACAGAACAGAAUUGAAAGCUCAGAAUUAAACCCAUGCAUAUACAUCAGUUACUGUUUGACAAAGGAGCCAAGAAUAAUCAAUUGGGAAAAGAUAGUCUCUUCAAUAAAAGGUGCUGGGAAAACUGGAUAUUCACAAAGAAUGAAACUGGACCCUUAUAUACUAUUCACAAAAAUUAACUUGAAAUGGAUUAAUGACUUAAGACCUGAAACCAUAAAACUCCUAAAAGAAAACCUGGAAAGCGCUCCCUGACAUUGGUCUUGGCAACAAUUUUGUGGAUAUGACACAAAAGCACAAGCAACAAAAGUAAAAAUAAAUAAGGGCAUUAAACUACAUUAACUACAUUAAACUAAAAAGCUCUGCACAGCAAAAGGAAUGAUAAAGAAAAACAAAAUGGCAGCCUAUGUAAUGGUAGAGAAUAUUUGCAAACCUCAUAUCUGAUAAGGGGUUAAUAUUCCUAUAUAUAAGGAACUCAUAAAACUCAAUAGCAAAAACAAAAACAAAAACCAACAACAAUAAAGCAAACCCCCUAAAUAAUCUUAUUAAAUAGGCAAGGAGCCUGAAUAGACAUUAUGUCCAAGGGAGACCUUCAAAUGGACAACAGGUACAUGAAAAAAUGGUUAAAAUCACUAAUCAUCAGAGAAAUGCAAAUCAAAGCCACAGUGAGAAAUGGCGUCACACCUGUUAGAAUGGCUAUUUUCAAAGAGAUGAGAUAUAACACAUGCUGGUGAGAAUGUGGAGAAAAGGGAAAACUUGUGCACUUUGGUGGGAAUGCAAACUGGUGCAGCCACUGAAAAAUGGUAUGGAGGUUCCUCAAAAAAUUAAAAAUAGAACCACCAUAUGACUCAGCAUUUCCACUUUUGAUUAUAUAUACAAAAGAAAUGAAAUGAUGAUUUCAAAAAGAUACUAGACCCCCAUGUUCAUGCAGUAGUAUUUACAAUAGCCAAGACAUGAAAACAACGUAAGUGCUCAUUGACUAAUGAAUAGAUAAAGAAAAUGUGGUGUGUGUAAAAUGGAAUUAGUAAAAGGAAUUUGAGAAUUAACUCGUGUGUUUUAGUCAUACACCUAUGUCACACACAUACACAUACACUUUCCCAGUAUCUACUACAUCUACCAAUAUCAAUCUACUAUCUGUUGACCCUUGAACAACACAGAUUUGAACUGUUGGUUCACUUAUAUGAGAAUGUUUCACAGCACAGUACUUUCUUACAAUUUUCUUAAUAACAUUUUCUUCUUUCUAGCUUACUUUAAGAAUACAGUAUAUAACACAUAUGACAAACAAAGUACCUGUUAAUUGAUUAUAUUACUUGUAAGGCUCUGGUCAACAGUAGGCUAAUAGUAGUUAAGUUUUGGGGGAGUCAAAAGUUAUACUUGGAUUUUUAACCACGCGGGGGUUGGUACCCCAACCCCUGUGUUGUUCAAGAAUGAACUGUAUAUGUAUGUACACAACUCUUAACACAUAUUGGUGGUAAAAUAUACACAUUAAAAUGAGAGGUUUUAUAUGAUUAUUGCUUACCAGACUUCACUUUUUUCCAUUAUUUCUGUUAUUUUGUAAAUGUCAAUUGAGCAACUACUGUGUUUUUACCGUAGGGGAUGCAAAGCUGAAAAUGUCUGAUCCUUGAUCUCGGAAAAUCUGCAGUUUAGUAACUUAGAUUCCAAAGAAGGGUGAAGCAUCUUCAAGAUGGAACCAGAUGAUCCAAUAGGCCAUGGAAAAAAUAUUAGAACCUCUAUAUUUUUUAUCCCAACAUUUAAAAUUUCUACUUUUGCUUAUAUUUUAUACUGGACUUCAUUAAUUCAUUGGUGUGCAUAAAGGAAGUGUAUGGGGGAAAUAGCCUCUCAUUUAUUUUAGCAGGAUGUUAAAUUGGUACAACAUAAAUGGAAAGCAGUUUACCAACAUCUAUCAAAAUUGUGAUUUGAUAGCAUUUUGACUAGGAAUUCCUCUUCUAGGAAUUUUUCCUGCAUACAUGCACACACACACAGGGCUCAAGCACACACACAGAGCAUUCCGUGCAGCCUUGUAUGUAACAGGAAAAGAUUUGCUAUGACCUAAAUGUCCAUCAACCAAGUUAUAUUACAUUCAUACAAUGUAAUACCAUGCAGCCAUUAAAAAGAGUGAUGAUACUUUUUAAAAAAUGUUUUUACAUUUAUUUAUUUUUGAGAGAGAGAGAGAGGAGAGAGACAGACAAGUGGGGGAAGGGCAGAGAUAGAAGGAGACACAGAAUCCAAAACAGGCUCCAGGUUCUGAGCUGUCAGCACAGAGCCCAACACGGGGCUCAAACUCACAAACUGUGAGAUCAUGACCUGAGCUGAAGUCAGACACUUAACUGACUAGGCCACCCAGGCGCCCUUAGAGUGAUGAUACUUUUUAUUUAUUGUCUUGAAGCAAUCUCUGAGAUCUAUCUGAAGGGAGGAAAAAUCUAAGUGUAGAACAGUUGCAGGGUAUGCUAUUUGUUAGUCAAUGAAAGAAAAUUAUGUAUUUUCUUAUAAAUCAUGUAUAUAUACAUAUAUGUAUACACAUAACAUUUCUUUUUUUAAUGUUUAUUUUUUAAUUUUAUUUUUUAUUUUUUAUAAUUUACAUCUAAAUUAGUUAGCAUAUAGUGAAACAAUGAUUUCAGGAGUAUAUUCCUUAAUGCCCCUUAUCCAUUUAGCCCAUCCCCCCCUCCCGCAACCCCUCCAGCAACCCUCAGUUUGUUCUCCAUAUUUAUGAGUCUCUUCUGUUUUGUCCCCCUCCCUGUUUUUAUAUUAUUUUUGUUUCCCUUCCCUUAUGCUCAUCUGUUUUGUCUCUUAAAGUCCUCAUAUGAGUGAAGUCAUAGGAUUUUUGUCUCUCUCUGACUAAUUUCACUUAGCAUAAUACCCUCCAGUUCCAUCCACGUAGUUGCAAAUACACAUAACAUUUCUUACAUAUGCAAAGUAUUUCUAGAAAUAUGCACAAGAACCUGGGCAACAUUACAUUGGUUGACUUUGGGAAGGAGAACUAGUAACUGAAACUCAGUGGAGGGAGGGAGGUAUUUUUACCAUAUUCCUUUUUUGUACCCUUUGAAUUUUGAACAUAUUACCUAUUUGCUGUAGGUUAGGUUUUCUGGAAGCAGAUGCUGAGAGGGAGUUUGGGGUACAAGGUGUCUGUUAAAAAUCAACACCUGUGGAAGGGAGGAAAGGAAGAAGGACUGGGCAGAGGGAGAAGUCUGCCUAUGUCUCAAGCCUGACAAAACCUUGGCUAACUCUCUGGGGAGCUAUGGAGCACAUGGCCUGUCAUUACUUUUCUUAUCCCUGCACUUUGUUGAGGGUUUGGAUGGAUAUAAAAUCCCAACAGUGUGAAGGAAGAGAAGUUAUUCUUUGAUUAAUAAGUCUUCAAACCUUCCCAGAAUCUCUUUCAAUUUGUUUAAGUCAGUGAUACCACCCACCUCACCCAUCAUUGAA